rnacentral:misc_RNA from 1 species
GAUGAAGAACGUAGCGAAAUGCGAUAAGUAGUGUGAAUUGCAGAAUUCAGUGAAUCAUCGAAUCUUUGAACGCACAUUGCGCCCCUUGGUAUCCCGAGGGGCAUGCCUGUUCGAGCGUCAUUUCACCACUCAAGCCUGGCUUGGUGUUGGGCGACGUCCCCUUUGGGGACGCGCCUCGAAACGCUCGGCGGCGUGGCACCGGCUUUAAGCGUAGCAGAAUCUUUCGCUUGGGAAGUCGGGGCCCCGUCUGCCGGAAGACCUACUCGCAAGGUUGACCUCGGAUCAGGCAGGGAUACCCGCUGAACUUAAGCAUAUCAAUAGCGGAGGA